AUUGAACGCUGGCGGCAUGCUUUACACAUGCAAGUCGAACGGCAGCACGGGUGCUUGCACCUGGUGGCGAGUGGCGGACGGGUGAGUAAUACAUCGGAACGUAUCCAGAAGAGGGGGAUAACGCAUCGAAAGAUGUGCUAAUACCGCAUAUUCUCUGAGGAGGAAAGCAGGGGAUCGAAAGACCUUGCGCUUUGGGAGCGGCCGAUGUCUGAUUAGCUAGUUGGUGGGGUAAAGGCCUACCAAGGCGACGAUCAGUAGUUGGUCUGAGAGGACGACCAGCCACACUGGGACGUGAGACACGGCCCAGACUCCUACGGGAGGGCAGCAGUGGGGGAAUUUUGGACAAUGGGCGCAAGCCUGAUCCAGCAAUGCCGCGUGAGUGAAGAAGGCCUCGGUUGUAAG
rnacentral:rRNA from 1 species